rnacentral:rRNA from 1 species
AUUCCAGCUCCAAUAGCGUAUAUUGAAGUUGUUGCAGUUAAAAAGCUCGUAGUUGGAUUUCUGGGCCGGAGAGCUGGUCUCGCCCGCAAGGGCGCUGCACCGUGCUCUGCCGGCUCAUCCUCGGGUGGGUCCGUACUGGCAUUAGGUUGUUGGUUCGGGGAAGCCCGUCUUUUACUGUGAAAAAAUUAGAGUGUUCAAAGCAGGCUUUUACGCCUGAAUAUUCGUGCAUGGAAUAAUAGAAUAGGAAGUCGUUUCUAUUUUGUUGGUUUUCGGAAAUCGACUUAAUGAUUAAUAGGGACAGUCGGGGGCAUUUGCAUUCAAACGACAGAGGUGAAAUUCUUGGACCGUUUGAAGACAAACUACUGCGAAAGCAUUUGCCAAGAAUGUUUUCAUUA